GAUGAACGCUGGCGGCGUGCCUAAUACAUGCAAGUCGAGCGAACGGACGAGAACCUUGCUUCUCUGAUGUUAGCCGCGGACGGGUUAGUAACACGUGGAUAACCUACCUAUAAGACUGGGAUAACUUCGGUAAACCGUAGCUAGUACCGGAUAAUAUUUUGAACCGCAUGGUUCAAAAGUUAAAGACGGUCUUGCUGUCACUUAUAGAUGGAUCCGCGCUUGAUUAGCUAGUUGGUAAGGUAACGGCUUACCAAGGCGACGAUGGAUAGCGGACCUGAGAGGGUGAUCGGCCACACUGGAACUGAGACACGGUCCAGACUCCUACGGGAGGCAGCAGUAGGGAAUCUUACGCAAUGGGCGAAAGCCUGACGGAGCAACGCCGCGUGAGGGAUGAAGGCCUUCGGAUCGUAAAACUCUGUUAUCCGGGAAGAACAUGUGUGUAAGUAACUGUGCGGAUCAUGACGGUACCUAAUGAGAAAGCCCCGGCUAACUACGUG
rnacentral:rRNA from 1 species